UCUCCGUGGAACAGCUUCCUUCGCCUAAAAAACGGCUGACUUUGAAAUAGUUUCGUACAGCUUUUGUUCUUCUGAUGCUGUUAAAGUAAUUUGCUGAAAUGUCCUAGUGCGACUCCAACGAUACGGUAGAGAUAUAGCAGAUCCGAAGACUGAACGGUUCCGAUAAUUAUGUUGUCCUCGCAAUUUGCGCCCACCUGGCUGGGAAGUAUAGAUUCAGGCAGCUACCGGACAUAUUUCGGGAUCCGAUAAAAAACCAUCUAAGGGCAUGUGUUUGCGAGAAAAAGUUGACCCAUGGCAAGUGCAGUGAUAGACUGAAAAAGAAAGUUUAACCUCGAUAUGAACAUGGCUAACCAGGAUCGCAAAAGUAAUGAGUUCCAGUACUGCGAGGUCUGAAGAUUUUUCAAAGUCUAUAAGGAUUGCUGUGUAUUUCCAUAUUUAUUGAGAGGUUCGAUUAGGAUCCAGUCCCUCAGCUAUAUCUUCGAUCCAUUGAAUGGUUAUUCCUUCAGGCCAUCUUUGCACUCGCCAUUGGUCGACAUUUGCUUGCAGACACAUGCUUUCAGAUGAUUUUUUACCGGCUCCCUGGAUACUCCCGGCAGUUCCCUGAAUUUAUGCUCUCCAUUCAAGAGGACAGGAAUUUCGAGCUAAUGGUACUUAUAGCAACCGUUCAGCCUUCGGAUAUGAUAUAUGUCUUCAGUAUCGAAGUAGUCACACAUGGCUAUACUCGUAUUCGGUUUUCUUAGCAUCAAUAGAUCAGAAAUUGUACAAAACUAUUUCAAAAACAGCCGCAUUUUAGACCUCGGAAGCUGCUGCUUGGAGAACUGAUCUCAACUGAUUCAGAGAUCGUAAUUGAAAUAUCUAAAAUAUAUCUUGCAAAUUAAGUAUAAAUAAAUUCAUGUACUUAAUAUUGUAUUUCAUCCUUAAAAUCUGAUGUUAAAUAUCUGAAUUUGUGCUUCUUAAAUUAAAUAACUGCCAUUAUAAUUUCCACUGU